rnacentral:rRNA from 1 species
CGUAGGGGGCGAGCGUUAUCCGGAAUCAUUGGGCGUAAAGGGCGCGUAGGCGGAUAUUUAAGUCAGGUGUGAAAACCCAGGGCUCAACCUUGGGAUUGCAUCUGAUACUGGGUAUCUUGAGGACAGGAGAGGAAAGUGGAAUUCCUAGUGUAGCGGUGAAAUGCGUAGAUAUUAGGAGGAACACCAGUGGCGAAGGCGACUUUCUGGACUGUAACUGACGCUGAGGCGCGAAAGCGUGGGGAGCAAACAGGAUUAGAUACCCUGGUAGUCCACGCCGUAAACGAUGAGUGCUAGGUGUAGGGGGUAUCGACCCUCCUGUGCCGCAGUUAACACAAUAAGCACUCCGCCUGGGGAGUACGGCCGCAAGGUUG